AACGAACGCUGGCGGCAUGCCUAACACAUGCAAGUCGAACGAGACCUUCGGGUCUAGUGGCGCACGGGUGCGUAACGCGUGGGAACCUGCCUUUAGGUUCGGAAUAACUCAGAGAAAUUUGAGCUAAUACCGGAUGAUGUCUUCGGACCAAAGAUUUAUCGCCUUUAGAUGGGCCCGCGUUGGAUUAGCUAGUUGGUGGGGUAAAGGCCUACCAAGGCGACGAUCCAUAGCUGGUCUGAGAGGAUGAUCAGCCACACUGGGGCUGAGACACGGCCCAGACUCCUACGGGAGGCAGCAGUGGGGAAUAUUGGACAAUGGGCGAAAGCCUGAUCCAGCAAUGCCGCGUGAGUGAUGAAGGCCUUAAGGUUGUAAAGCUCUUUUACCCGAGAUGAUAAUGACAGUAUCGGGAGAAUAAGCUCCGGCUAACUCCGUG
rnacentral:rRNA from 1 species